rnacentral:pre_miRNA from 2 species
UUUGUGGAGAAUGGUGGCUGGCUCGAUGUAUUCAUCUUUUUCGAUUUAUUAAUGAAUUUGCAGAAGAGAUUUUGUUUCUCUCUCUACAUUUUCUUCGUGUAAGAUGACAACAUCGGACCAGGCUUCAUUCCUCUCAAA